UACGUAGGGUGCAAGCGUUGUCCGGAAUUAUUGGGCGUAAAGAGCUCGUAGGCGGUCUGUCGCGUCUGCUGUGAAAACUCGGGGCUUAACCCCGGGCCUGCAGUGGAUACGGACAGACUAGAGGUAGGUAGGGGAGAAUGGAAUUCCCGGUGUAGCGGUGAAAUGCGCAGAUAUCGGGAGGAACACCGGUGGCGAAGGCGGUUCUCUGGGCCUUACCUGACGCUGAGGAGCGAAAGCGUGGGGAGCGAACAGGG
rnacentral:rRNA from 1 species